UGCCCUUCGUCGAAGGGACUCCGCUGCCAUCUUUUAGGGCUAGGGUUAGUGUUUUGGAGUUUCCCCGAAGGGUUUGUGAGCCAAGCGAGAGCGAGCGCUGCCAAAAUGGGUAUCUCUCGGGAUUCUAUGCACAAGAGGCGCGCCACCGGAGGGAAGAAGAAAGCCUGGAGGAAGAAGAGAAAGUAUGAGUUGGGCCGGCAGCCGGCAAACACUAAGUUGUCGAGCAACAAGACAGUGAGGAGGGUUCGGGUGAGGGGAGGCAACGUGAAGUGGAGGGCCCUCCGAUUGGACACUGGGAACUACUCGUGGGGAAGCGAGGCCGUGACUCGCAAGACCCGUAUCCUUGAUGUGGUGUACAAUGCCUCGAACAAUGAGCUCGUGAGGACGCAGACUCUUGUGAAGAGCGCUAUCGUGCAGGUUGAUGCUGCUCCCUUCAAGCAGUGGUACAUCCAGCAUUAUGGUGUUGAAAUUGGAAGGAAGAAGAAGACCCCUGCUGCCAAAAAGGAAGCAACUGAGCAAAUCCAAUUUGGAUGCAAGCUUCAGAUCAAUGUCUGCUGUACCGCCCCCGUACUGCCCAAUACGGGACGUACCGUACCGUACCGUACCGAGAGAAAACUGGUACGAAACAUAUAUUCAAGUCGGUACAAGUCUACCGAAGUAUACCGCCCCAUAUCGAGGCAUACCGACUGGUAUUGAGGCGUACCGAGAUAAAAAUUGAGAAAAUGGAUAAAAAAGCUAUUUUGGCGCAGAGGUAUACCAUACCGAAUCGGGGCAAGAGGGGGACGGUGCUGCGGAGGAAGUGAAGAAGAGCAGCCAUGUUCUUAGGAAGCUAGAGAAGCGUCAACAAGGUCGCCAACUUGAUCCCCACAUUGAGGAGCAAUUUGGAAGUGGGAGGCUGUUGGCUUGCAUCUCUUCUCGCCCUGGUCAAUGCGGCAGAGCUGAUGGAUACAUAUUAGAAGGCAAGGAGCUUGAGUUUUACAUGAGGAAGAUCCAGAAGAAGAAGGGCAAGGCAGGUGCUGCUGCUUAAGUGGAGUUCUUUUAAAUUUGCUUGUUAUGCAUCCAUGCACUUUGGUUUUUUUUUUGAGAUUCAGAGGUUGAACCGCAAAAUUUAUGGUUCAUUAAAAUUUUGUAAUGCAAUUUAACCAUAUCAGAGGUGAGGAUACUUGUUUGGUUAUAGUUUUGAGCUUUAGAUGGUUAUCUGUUGUGUAGACUCCAUACUGUGCUUUUGUUGAGGAAAAGCUGAUUCCAAGUUAUAUUUCAUUAGAAUAAUGUUAAACGCAGGUCUUCGAUGUUAUAAGUGUUUUUGUUAA